rfam:Listeria grayi DSM 20601 genomic scaffold SCAFFOLD1, whole genome shotgun sequence.
GAAACCCUAAUGUAUUCGAGUAGUUCCCAUUAUUUUGAACCGAACAAUUUUUAUUACCUUGGGAGCCUGGAGUUCAGGCGCAGCGCACAUGCCUCCACACGAGGAAGUGUAAAACGUCUGACAAGGCACCCACCUGCAUUAACUGCGGGUUCAAAGGACGGGAAUCCUAACGGUACGAUUGGGGUUUCU